AGGAAGCAGCUUGCUGCUUCGCUGACGAGUGGCGGACGCGUGUAGUAAUGUCUGGGAAACUGCCUGAUGGAGGGGGAUAACUACUGGAAACGGUAGCUAAUACCGCAUAACGUCGCAAGACCAAAGAGGGGGACCUUCGGGCCUCUUGCCAUCGGAUGUGCCCAGAUGGGAUUAGCUAGUAGGUGGGGUAACGGCUCACCUAGGCGACGAUCCCUAGCUGGUCUGAGAGGAUGACCAGCCACACUGGAACUGAGACACGGUCCAGACUCCUACGGGAGGCAGCAGUGGGGAAUAUUGCACAAUGGGCGCAAGCCUGAUGCAGCCAUGCCGCGUGUAUGAAGAAGGCCUUCGGGUUGUAAAGUACUUUCAGCGGGGAGGAAGGGAGUAAAGUUAAUACCUUUGCUCAUUGACGUUACCCGCAGAAGAAGCACCGGCUAACUCCGUGCCAGCAGCCGCGGUAAUACGGAGGGUGCAAGCGUUAAUCGGAAUUACUGGGCGUAAAGCGCACGCAGGCGGUUUGUUAAGUCAGAUGUGAAAUCCCCGGGCUCAACCUGGGAACUGCAUCUGAUACUGGCAAGCUUGAGUCUCGUAGAGGGGGGUAGAAUUCCAGGUGUAGCGGUGAAAUGCGUAGAGAUCUGGAGGAAUACCGGUGGCGAAGGCGGCCCCCUGGACGAAGACUGACGCUCAGGUGCGAAAGCGUGGGGGAGCAAACAGGAUUAGAUACCCUGGUA
rnacentral:rRNA from 1 species